UCCAUCGUGAUGUGUGACGUUGAGGAAGUGUGUAGUAAAAUCUUGGCUUGAUGAACAAAAACAUAAUAAUAAUGCUUAAUAAGAGGAUAAGGCCACCACAGAGGUUGAAGUCCAAAAGAUAUGCGUAAUCUUAUUAAGUAAAUUAUGCAAGUAAAAGAGGAAAAUUAAACGA
rfam:Clostridium sp. CAG:921 genomic scaffold, scf19